ensembl:snRNA U6 U6 spliceosomal RNA
GUGCUGCUUUGGCAGCACAUUUACUAAAAUGAGAAUAAUACAGAGAAGAUUAGCAUGGCCCCUAUACAAGGAUGACAAGCAAAUCUGAGAUGCAUUUCAUAUUUUU